rnacentral:lncRNA from 1 species
AUCAGGUGAGCCCGAAGGGCGAGCCUGAUAUUUUCUGUGAUAAAGUCAGUAUCAAAAACAAAAAGUCCUUUAUUCUGUUUAUCGGUAAUUUAAAAAAAAAAUAAAAUCACUACAAUAAUAGAGAAAAUAACAAACGAACUUCUUUUUCGCGUCGAAUCACGGCGAAUCACACUUGACGUCACAGGCUGCAUUACGUCAUUUGAAAUUUUGUCACAGUGCAGUAAACAUGGCGUUCUCUUGUACAAAGUAUUGAAAAGGAAUUAUUACAUGUGAUUCAUUUAUAUUCUACUUUGGACAUGACUCUAACAAUGGCAAAUAUAAUGGUAGCAUACCGGUAAGUCACAUUCAGAUUUCUUUAUUUUUCACAAAGCAUCAACAUAGAGGGUCCUGAUCCCG